AAGUCUGGUGCCAGCAGCCGCGGUAACUUCAGCUCCAAUAGCGUAUAUUAACUUUGUUGCAUUUAAAAAGCUCGUAGUUGAAUUUAUUUUUAUAAAUUUUAUAUAAGUAGUAUUAUUUUAUAAUAAAAUUAUUUAAAUUUAUUUUUUAUAAUUUUAUUAUAUAUUAAACGGUAAUAUUAUUUAUAAUUUAUAAAAAAAUUUUAUGUUAUAUUAUUUAGUAAUAGAUAAUAUAAUAUAAAUAUUACUGUGAAAAAAUUAGAGUGUUUAAAGCAUGUAUAUAAAAUUAAAAAAUAUAUUUUCUGAAUAUAUUUUUUUAGCUUGAAUAUAUUAGCAUGGAAUAAUAAUAUUAUAAUAUUUUUAUAUUAUUUUGUUGGUUAAAUAUAAAAAUAUAUGAUUAAUAGGGACAAUUGGGGGUAUUUAUAUUUCAUAGUCAGAGGUGAAAUUCUGGGAUUUAUGAAAGAUAAACAAAUGCGAAAGCAUUUACCAAAAAUGUUUUCAUUAAUCAAGAACGAAAGUUAGGGGAUCAAAGAGGCUUAGAUACCCUCGUAG
rnacentral:rRNA from 1 species